rnacentral:lncRNA from 1 species
AAAAUAAAAAAUCUAAGGCUCGAAUCCCAUGGCAACAAAUCUACAGCCAAUUUCUUCUGUCAUAUUGAGACAUAAUCCAAGCGAAUUGCAUUUACAUCCAUCUUCACUUGUAGAAAUUCUAACUAAUUCAGAGUGAAUAUCCCGUAGUUAGAUCCACAAAAAAGUUGUGCAGUUAUAUUAAUUAUCAACACUUAAAUAAUAUAGUACUAACAAAUGUGAGGUAGUUAGCCUUACAAAAACAGUGCUCGUUAGAAGAAAUAUAAAUCCACCAGCAAUCGAAUUUCGAACAUAGC